rnacentral:tRNA from 1 species
GUCAGGAUGGCCGAGUGGUCUAAGGCGCCAGACUCAAGGCUCUGCCUUCCCCGCUGGGAUUUCUGGUCUCCCCCUGGAGGCGUGGGUUCGAAUCCCACUCCUGACA